rnacentral:lncRNA from 1 species
UUUUCGGGGUUUGUAAUUUGGCCGUGGGUAGGUAAUUGGCUGGAGCAGGGCGGCCGGGCGCGGCAGCCAAUCAGCGCGCGGCUUCUAUAGGGCUUGAGUUAUUAGACGCUGAUCUCAAAACAUCCUUCAUCAGACACCAAGGAGAGGCCAACAGAUGAGGGGAGCCAUUUUUCUGCAAUGGAAUUAAAUGGCCAAAGCAGUAAACAGUCCUCAGCGAAGCCGCCUUUUGCCAACCCAACCCUGGAAAGUUUGCAGAAGUGGAAGGAGCAGAAAAUGCCAUGAGAGUGUAACUUUAAAAAGCUUGAUCUUCCAGACUCCAUGGCACCGGGCUGAGCGGCUCGUGACUGGAGAAGGGGCCCGGUACCCUCAGAGUGGACCGCCCUCCUUUGGAUAGCAGAAGCAGGUAUAGUCUGACUCUGCCAGUCCCCGCAUUAAGGUAGGUGUGAGCCCUUUCCCAGCCUGCGAGGGCGAUUUGGGGGGCUUUGGCCUGGCGCCCAGGGAGGGCGGGCACCCCAAACCCGCUAGUCUGGUUCUUCGGCCCCUCCCCCACACAGAUGUGUGGGACUGUGUGAAAUCGGCUGCCUGCUGGGCCUGCUUGGUCCAUCCAUCCCCGCCUGUCAGCUUCUGUUGUCAGGAGUUUGGGGCGUGCAAUUCUCUGCCGUAUUUAGCAGCAUAGGAGAGGCUGCACUUACGAAAGUAUUUCCCAGUCGUGUGUUUUGUGGUGGGGGAGGGCCCUGGAUGCCUCUUCUGAAAGGCACAGUCGGCUGCCAGGAAACCGGACCCGGCGCUGGCCCUCCCUUCCGGCCCGCACUGGCGGUGUGUGGGGUGAUUGUAUGAAGCUGGCCCCUUCCUUUCUAAUGUCUGGCUGCUAGGGAGGUGAAGAACAGAAGGACUUGAGAUCUGGGCCAGUUUUCUUUAAGAAAGAGGUUUCUUGACUCGUCUCCUUCCAGGAAAUUCCCACGAUUCCAUCUCACCCAGCCCCCUCCCCCUCAAAGCCCUGUUUCUAGAAUUGGACAAACCCGAAUUUGAAACCUGGCUAGCCGUUUUACCUGCUGUGACCUUGUGUAAGCAGCGCAGUCUCUCAGCCCCAGUUUCCCCAUCCGAACAAAUGGGUCAGUGAUUGUCAAAGUGUGCAUCCGAUCACACGGGUGGCUCAUUAAAAUACUCCGAGACCCCAUCCUUGAGUUUCUGAUUCAGUUGGUGGGGCCUGAGAACUCUCAUUUCUAAUAAAAUUCCCAGGUUUUGCUCA